ensembl:lncRNA LINC01470 long intergenic non-protein coding RNA 1470
ACUUUGGUGGAUCUGGAGCCUUACUUACCACAGGGCUGAGGGGCUCCUUGGCCCUAUAAAGCUGUUUUUCAGAUGGGCUGUGGGAGGGAGCUGCUUUCUAAUUCAUCAGGUCCUAAAGGGACUUUCACGUGAGAGAACUAAUCCAAACUCAGUGAUGGUGCAAGGGUACUUCUUACCUCUAGGGACAGUGCCUUUCACCUCCUGCCAUGAUUCUGAGGCCUCCCCAGCCAUGUGGAACUUCUUUUCCAAAGUGUGGUGUGAAGAGUACUGCUCCUGUAAAUUUAACGAAAUUUUCCAUGGGCAAGAAAAAAGGAACUCCUGAGAACUGAGAAAUGACUGUUUAAUGAACAAAGAGAGAAGUGACAAUGAGACUGCCCUGUCCAGAGACUCCCAAAUAAAGAAGGAGUCUCUGUAAUGACAUCUCCUGUGACAUUCCUGAUACACCACCUGGAAGGAGAGAAGAUGGUAGUCUGAAAGGGACAGAAUGAGAGAGGGAGCUGGAGAAAGAAAUGAAUAAACACGAAUGCAUCUGGAGAAUGAGGCAUCUUGGAAUCUGGAAAGUGAGGCAUCCUGGAAGAGAGAUGAAGCAGAUGCUACCUGAUUUGUGCUCCAGCUAAUGUCACUCACGUCAGGAGUGUUGCCAAAUGCAAUGAGGUGCGACUGACACCAGGGAAGAUGAUGAGCAAAGAGAAUGGCAGCUGGCUGUGUUUCCUUCUUAUAGCAUUUUAAUGAAUCAAGGAGCAUCCUGAUAGAGUACAUCUGGACAUGCUAGAAGCCAGACUCUAAGAUCCGAGAACCCUAAGGCGGCUCCAUCUUCAUGACAGGGAGGAUGGGUCCUGAAUAGAGGGAUGAGGCCUGAGAAAUAUAAAAGGCAGUUGCAGUGCUAUAGAAAGAACUAUACAUUAGUGGUUAGAAAACCUGAGUUCUCUCUCACUCUGUGUUACUCAUUAGUUUUUUGACUUAGGCAAAAUGUUUGUCUUACUCGAGACUCUUUUAACAAUAAAAACACACUAGAGUUACCAACAGGGUCCCAAAGGCAGUGGAUAGGGGAUCUAGAAAGCUACUACAAGGGGCCCAUUCCUCUUUCAUUAUUGCUUCCCUUUCUUCUCUCUCUCUGACAAUCAGCUUUUUUUCCUUUACCUCCCAGUCUGCCUGGUGGAAGACAAGAUAAUCCAAGUUUUCAUGGUAUAGGUCCAGCCACAAGGAAAGACUGAUUCCUGAUUCUCAUUUCCAUGUUUAAUUCCUAGCUGAAGGUAUGAUAGGCCUAGCUAAUUCCCCCUCACCAAAAAGUAUGAACAGAGUGUGUAUGAAUUUUAGACAUCAUGCCUGAGGCCCACUCCUUUGGCCCAAUAGAUGGUGGAUCAGUUCUCAUUUCAAGGGGACUGUUUGUCAGCUGAGAUGUUUCCAAAGGUAUUCAUUUGCUUGUGUAACUUUAUUUCCUCAAAAGUAAAAUCUGACCUC